GUGAGGAAUUUUCCGCAAUGGGCGAAAGCCUGACGGAGCAAUGCCGCGUGAAGGAUGAAGGCCUAUGGGUUGUAAACUUCUUUUCUCAGAAAAGAAUUAUGACGGUAUCUGAGGAAUAAGCAUCGGCUAACUCUGUGCCAGCAGCCGCGGUAAGACAGAGGAUGCAAGCGUUAUCCGGAAUGAUUGGGCGUAAAGCGUCUGUAGGUUGUUUAAAAAGUAUUCUGUCAAAGAUUAGGGCUUAACCCUAGAUAGGCAGAAUAAACUUUUAAGCUAGAGUUUGGUAGAGGCGGAGGGAAUUCCCGGUGGAGCGGUGAAAUGCGUAGAUAUCGGGAGGAACACCAAAGGCGAAGGCACUCUGCUGGGCCAAUACUAACACUGAGAGACGAAAGCGAGGGGAGCAAAUGGGAUUAGAUACCCGAGUAGUCC
rnacentral:rRNA from 1 species